rnacentral:rRNA from 1 species
CCCUACGGGAGGCAGCAGUGGGGAAUAUUGCACAAUGGGGGGAACCCUGAUGCAGCGACGCCGCGUGAGUGAAGAAGUAUUUCGGUAUGUAAAGCUCUAUCAGCAGGGAAGAAAAUGACGGUACCUGACUAAGAAGCCCCGGCUAACUACGUGCCAGCAGCCGCGGUAAUACGUAGGGGGCAAGCGUUAUCCGGAUUUACUGGGUGUAAAGGGAGCGUAGACGGCCAUGCAAGCCUGGAGUGAAAGCCCGGGGCCCAACCCCGGGACUGCUCUGGGAACUGUGCGGCUGGAGUGCGGGAGGGGCG